CCCUAAUGAGGAGACAACAGUCUAUAUAGACCCUAAUGAGGAGACAACAACCCUAUAUAGACCCUAAUGAGGAGACAAUAGUCUAUAUAGACCCUAAUGAGGAGACAAUAGUCUAUAUAGACCCUAAUGAGGAGACAACAGUCUAUAUAGACCCUAAUGAGGAGACAACAGUCUAUAUAGACUGUUGUCUCCUCAUUCGGGCCUAUAUAGACUGUUGUCUCCUCAUUCGGGCCUAUAUAGACUGUUGUCUCCUCAUUCGGGCCUAUAUAGACUGCUGUCUCCUCAUUACGGUCUGUAUAGACUGUUGUCUCCUCACUAGGAUCUAUAUAGACUGUUGUCUCCUCACUAGGGUCUAUAUAGACUGUUGCCUCCUCAUUGGGGUUUAUGUAGACUGUUGUCUCCUCAUUAGGGUCUAUAUAGACUGUUGUCUCCUCAUUAGGGCCUGUAUAGACUGUUGCCUCCUCAUUAGGGUUUAUGUGGACUGUUGAGUUGUUGCUAUACUAGUCAGCUAAGUCCAUUGGAUAUCUAAACAUUUUGGUCUCUAAAUCCCUGCCUCA
rnacentral:lncRNA from 1 species